rnacentral:piRNA from 1 species
CAAAACAAAACCCAACCUGCCUUAAAAUCUAA